rfam:Stemphylium lycopersici strain CIDEFI 216 scaffold10, whole genome shotgun sequence.
NNNNUAAUGGCCCAAUGGCAAGGCGCUUGACUACGAUUCGGUUCGAUAUCAAGAGAUUCCAGGUUCGACCCCUGGUUAGGUCA